UACGAAGGGGGCUAGCGUUGUUCGGAAUUACUGGGCGUAAAGCGUGCGCAGGCGGCCAUCCAAGUCAGUGGUGAAAGCCCGGAGCUCAACUCCGGAAUUGCCAUUGAAACUGUUCGGCUCGAGUACGAGAGAGGUGAGUGGAAUUCCCAGUGUAGAGGUGAAAUUCGUAGAUAUUGGGAAGAACACCGGUGGCGAAGGCGGCUCUCUGGACCGAGACUGACGCUGAGGCGCGAAAGCGUGGGGAGCAAACAGG
rnacentral:rRNA from 1 species